AUGCAAGUCGAACGAGAACGGGUUAAAGUUUACUUUAACUGUCAGCUAAGUGGCGCACGGGUGAGUAAUAUAUAGUUAAUCUGCCCCAAAGAAGAGAAUAAUUGUUGGAAACGACUUGUAACUCUCUAUAUGCCUUUAUUACAUAAGUAAGCAAGGGAAACAUUUAUGGCUUUGGGAUGAGACUGUACGGUAUCAGUUUGUUGGUAAGGUAAUGGCUUACCAAGACUAUGACGCCUAACUGGUUUGAGAGGAUGAUCAGUCACACUGGAACUGAGACACGGUCCAGACUCCUACGGGAGGCAGCAGUGGGGAAUAUUGCACAAUGGAGGAAACUCUGAUGCAGCAACGCCGCGUGGAGGAUGACACAUUUCGGUGCGUAAACUCCUUUUAUAUGAGAAGAUAAUGACGGUAUCAUAUGAAUAAGCACCGGCUAACUCCGUGCCAGCAGCCGCGGUAAUACGGGGGGGUGCAAGCGUUACUCGGAAUCACUGGGCGUAAAGAGCAUGUAGGCGGAUAGAUAAGUUGGAAGUGAAAUCCUAUGGCUUAACCAUAGAACUGCUUCCAAAACUGUCUAUCUAGAAUAUGGGAGAGGUAGAUGGAAUUUCUGGUGUAGGGGUAAAAUCCGUAGAGAUCAGAAGGAAUACCGAUUGCGAAGGCGAUCUACUGGAACAUUAUUGACGCUCAGAUGCGAAAGCGUGGGGAGCAAACAGGAUUAGAUACCCUGGUAGUCCACGCCCUAAACGAUGCACACUAGUUGUUGCCUUGCUAGACAAGGCAGUAAUGCAGUUAACACAGUAAGUGUGCCGCCUGGGGAG
rnacentral:rRNA from 1 species